rnacentral:tRNA from 1 species
GUUUUAAUAAUUUAAAGAAACUAUUAGUCUUGUAAACUAAAAUUAGGAAAUUAUCCUUUAAAACU